GGUGAGUCGGCCCCUAAGGCGAGGACGAAAGUCGUAGUCGAUGGGAAGCAGGUUAAUAUUCCUGCACCUCGCGUAAGUGCGAUGGAGGGACGGAGAAGGUUAGGCGUACCGGGCGUUGGUUGUCCCGGGGAAAGGCGGUAGGUUUGGAUCUUUGGCAAAUCCGGGAUCCUUCAAGACCGAGCACCGAGACGAGCCUUUAUGGCGAAGUCGCUGAUACCACGCUUCCAGGAAAAGCUCCUAAGCUUCAGCUUACGCAGACCGUACCGUAAACCGACACAGGUGGGUAGGAUGAGAAUUCUCAGGCGCUUGAGAGAACUCGGGUGAAGGAACUAGGCAAAAUGGCACCGUAACUUCGGGAGAAGGUGCACCCUUUUUGGUGGCUCGUGCGAGCUAUAGCUGAAGAGGGUCGCAGUAACCAGGCCGCUGCGACUGUUUAUCAAAAACACAGCACUCUGCAAACACGAAAGUGGACGUAUAGGGUGUGACGCCUGCCCGGUGCCGGAAGGUUAAUUGAUGGGGUUAGCUAACGCGAAGCUCUUGAUCGAAGCCCCGGUAAACGGCGGCCGUAACAAUAACGGUCCUAAGGUAGCGAAAUUCCUUGUCGGGUAAGUUCCGACCUGCACGAAUGGCGUAACGAUGGCGGCGCUGUCUCCACCCGAGACUCAGUGAAAUUGAAAUCGCUGUGAAGAUGCAGUGUAUCCGCGGCUAGACGGAAAGACCCCGUGAACCUUUACUAUAGCUUUGCACUGGACUUUGAAUUUGCUUGUGUAGGAUAGGUGGGAGGCUUUGAAGCGUGGACGCCAGUUCGCGUGGAGCCAUCCUUGAAAUACCACCCUGGCAACUUUGAGGUUCUAACUCAGGUCCGUUAUCCGGAUCGAGGACAGUGUAUGGUGGGUAGUUUGACUGGGGCGGUCUCCUCCUAAAGAGUAACGGAGGAGUACGAAGGUGCGCUCAGACCGGUCGGAAAUCGGUCGUAGAGUAUAAAGGCAAAAGCGCGCUUGACUGCGAGACAGACACGUCGAGCAGGUACGAAAGUAGGUCUUAGUGAUCCGGUGGUUCUGUAUGGAAGGGCCAUCGCUCAACGGAUAAAAGGUACUCCGGGGAUAACAGGCUGAUACCGCCCAAGAGUUCAUAUCGACGGCGGUGUUUGGCACCUCGAUGUCGGCUCAUCACAUCCUGGGGCUGAAGCCGGUCCCAAGGGUAUGGCUGUUCGCCAUUUAAAGUGGUACGCGAGCUGGGUUUAGAACGUCGUGAGACAGUUCGGUCCCUAUCUGCCGUGGACGUUUGAGAUUUGAGAGGGGCUGCUCCUAGUACGAGAGGACCGGAGUGGACGAACCUCUGGUGUUCCGGUUGUCACGCCAGUGGCAUUGCCGGGUAGCUAUGUUCGGGAAAGAUAACCGCUGAAAGCAUCUAAGCGGGAAACUUGCCUCAAGAUGAGAUCUCACUGGAACCUUGAGUUCCCUGAAGGGCCGUCGAAGACUACGACGUUGAUAGGUUGGGUGUGUAAGCGCUGUGAGGCGUUGAGCUAACCAAUACUAAUUGCCCGUGAGGCUUGACC
rnacentral:rRNA from 1 species